rnacentral:rRNA from 1 species
AGCUCCAAUAGCGUAUAUUACAGUUGUUGCGGUUAAAAAGCUCGUAGUUGGACUUCUGCUGAGGACGACCGGUCCGCCCUCUGGGUGAGUAUCUGGCUCGGCCUGGGCAUCUUCUUGGAGAACGUAGCUGCACUUGACUGUGUGGUGCGGUAUCCAGGACUUUUACUUUGAGGAAAUUAGAGUGUUUCAAGCAGGCACACGCCUUGAAUACAUUAGCAUGGAAUAAUAAGAUAGGACCUCGGUUCUAUUUUGUUGGUUUCUAGAGCUGAGGUAAUGGUUAAUAGGGAUAGUUGGGGGCAUUCGUAUUUAACUGUUAGAGGUGAAAUUCUUGGAUUUGUUAAAGACGGACUACUGCGAAAGCAUUUGCCAAGGAUGUUUUCAUUGAUCAAGAACGAAAGUA